AUUGAACGCUGGCGGCAGGCCUAACACAUGCAAGUCGAGCGGAUGAAGGGAGCUUGCUCCUGGAUUCAGCGGCGGACGGGUGAGUAAUGCCUAGGAAUCUGCCUCGUAGUGGUGGAUAACGUCCGGAAACGGGCGCUAAUACCGCAUACGUCCUGAGGGAGAAAGUGGGGGAUCUUCGGACCUCACGCUCUCAGAUGAGUCUAGGUCGGAUUAGCUAGUUGGUGGGGUAAAGGCCUACCAAGGCGACGAUCCGUAACUGGUCUGAGAGGAUGAUCAGUCACACUGGAACUGAGACACGGUCCAGACUCCUAAGGGAGGCAGCAGUGGGGAAUAUUGGACAAUGGGCGAAAGCCUGAUCCAGCCAUGCCGCGUGUGUGAAGAAGGUCUUCGGAUUGUAAAGAACUUUAAGUUGGGAGGAAGGGCAGUAAGUUAAUACCUUGCUGUUUUGACGUUACCAACAGAAUAAGCACCGGCUAACUUCGUG
rnacentral:rRNA from 1 species